rnacentral:rRNA from 1 species
GACGAAGGGGGCAAGCGUUGUUCGGAAUUACUGGGCGUAAAGGGCGCGUAGGCGGUUCUUUAAGUCAGGCGUGAAAGCCCUGGGCUCAACCUGGGAGUGGCGCUUGAUACUGGAGGACUAGAGAGUGGGAGAGGUUGGUGGAAUUCCCAGUGUAGAGGUGAAAUUCGUAGAUAUUGGGAAGAACACCGGUGGCGAAGGCGGCCAACUGGACCAUUUCUGACGCUGAGGCGCGAAAGCGUGGGAGCAAACAGG